rnacentral:rRNA from 1 species
UACGUAGGGCGCAAGCGUUGUCCGGAAUUAUUGGGCGUAAAGAGCUCGUAGGCGGCUUGUCAAGUCGGAUGUGAAAGCCCGGGGCUUAACUCCGGGUCUGCAUUCGAUACGGGCUGGCUAGAGUGUGGUAGGGGAGAUCGGAAUUCCUGGUGUAGCGGUGAAAUGCGCAGAUAUCAGGAGGAACACCGGUGGCGAAGGCGGAUCUCUGGGCCAUUACUGACGCUGAGGAGCGAAAGCGUGGGGAGCGAACAGG